ACAAGCGGUGGAGUAUGUGGUUUAAUUCGAUGCAACGCGAAGAACCUUACCUGGUCUUGACAUCCCGGAGACCCUUAGGAACUAGGGGUGCUUCCAUCUGGAAGAAUCUGGAGACAGGUGCUGCAUGGCUGUCGUCAGCUCGUGUCGUGAGAUGUUGGGUUAAGUCCCGCAACCGAGCGCAACCCUUGCCUUUAGUUGCCAGCAGUUCGGCUGGGCACUCUAAAGGGACUGCCGGUGUUAAACCGGAGGAAGGUGGGGAUGACGUCAAGUCCUCAUGGCCUUUAUGACCAGGGCUACACACGUACUACAAUGGCCGAUACAAAGGGCAGCGACACUGCGAGGUGAAGCCAAUCCCGUAAAACCGGUCCCAGUACGGAUUGGAGUCUGCAACCCGACUCCAUGAAGUUGGAAUCGCUAGUAAUCGCGCAUCAGCAUGGCGCGGUGAAUACGUUCCCGGGCCUU
rnacentral:rRNA from 1 species